rnacentral:rRNA from 1 species
GUUAUCCGGGAUUAUUGGGCGUAAAGCGUCCGCAGGCGGCCCUUCAAGUCUGCUGUUAAAACGUGGAGCUUAACUCCAUCAUGGCAGUGGAAACUGUUGGGCUUGAGUGUGGUAGGGGCAGAGGGAAUUCCCGGUGUAGCGGUGAAAUGCGUAGAUAUCGGGAAGAACACCAGUGGCGAAGGCGCUCUGCUGGGCCAUAACUGACGCUCAUGGACGAAAGCCAGGGGAGCGAAAGGGAUUAGAUACCCCUGUAGUCCUGGCCGUAAACGAUGAACACUAGGUGUCGGGGGAAUCGACCCCCUCGGUGUCGUAGCCAACGCGUUAAGUGUUCCGCCUGGGGAGUACGCACGCAAGUGUGAAACUCAAAGGAAUUGACGGGGGCCCGCACAAGCGGUGGAGUAUGUGGUUUAAUUCGAUGCAACGCGAAGAACCUUACCAGGGUUUGACAUCCUGCGAACCUCUUGGAAACGAGAGGGUGCCUUCGGGAGCGCAGUGACAGGUGGUGCAUGGCUGUCGUCAGCUCGUGUCGUGAAAUGUUGGGUUAAGUCCCGCAACGAGCGCAACCCACGUCUUUAGUUGCCAGCAUUUAGUUGGGCACUCUAGAGAGACCGCCGGUGAUAAACCGGAGGAAGGCGUGGAUGACGUCAAGUCAUCAUGCCCCUUACAUCCUGGGCUACACACGUACUACAAUGCUACGGACAAAGAGCAGCAAGUUCGCGAGGACAAGCAAAUCUCAUAAACCGUGGCUCAGUUCAGAUCGUAGGCUGCAACUCGCCUACGUGAAGGAGGAAUCGCUAGUAAUCGCAGGUCAGCAUACUGCGGUGAAUACGUUCCCGGGCCUUGUACACACCGCCCGUCACACCAUGGAAGUUGGCCACGCCCGAAGCCGUUACUCCAACCCUUGUGGAGGAGGACGUCGAAGGUGGGGCUGAUGACUGGGGUGAAGUCGUAACAAGGUAGCCGUA